CCCCACUUAGCUUAGACUGGCUAGAGCGGCGGACUGUAGUGCGCUUUCGGUUUUACCGAAUGCCGAAGUUCUGGCCGAUAUCCGCAGAUCCCCGGUUCAAAUCCGGGAGUGGGGA
rnacentral:tRNA from 1 species